UCAAAACAGUUCGUCCAAAUAUCCUAGAAAAUAAUUUAAAAAAAAAUUGUGUACAGAGAACUCCGAACGAAAAAUUAAGGAUGACGCUGUCUGGACAUUUAAAAAGUUACCUAAACACUCAUUAAUAAGUCAAAGGAUAUUGGCCGCACAAUGAAAUUUUGAAAAGGAUGAGACCGGAUAUAUUAUUAACCCUUUCUUUAUUAUUUUUGCUUGAAAUUUCUAUGACAAUUUAUUUAUAAGACAACAUGCAAGAAUUUUAGCAUGCAUUGUCUACAUUUUCUGCAUACAGAACGAACUAACCAGAAUUUGUUUUUUCAAAGGAUCCAUAUAAAACUAAUAUGUCAAACAAUUUUUAUUUUAUCCGCUCCUAAAUAAUUUUGGUCAAGAUUCUCAAAGUCCAAUCUACAAGCCCUUGAUGUUAUGGAUAUUAGAAACUUUUUUAACUUUCUAGACAUGUCAAAACUUUUUGCAAAACAGACGAAGUAUAUUUAUGCCCUUUCCCCAAAUGGAUGGAAGCGAAUGCCUAAUGAUGGCGUGAACUUCACAAAAUGGCAUUCACCUCAAACUAAAUUACCUGUAAAAGAUUUAUGCUCAGGAUGACUUCACAACCUGGAAUGAUUCUGCUAUGAAAAAACGAUGUGGCGUGGAGUUUUUGCUUCAUUCAAAGAUCUUUGAAAAAAGGCAUCAAAAGGCAUCCAAGAUGGCUUGUGAAGAAGAGGAAUGAAGUAAUGAAUUUAAUCAGUUUUCUAGCAAUAGGAAAGUUGCAAAUUAUAUUUGGAAUAUGCUUGUGGGAAUAUGUCUCCAAUGAUACUCCCUACAAAUCUUCUAGGAAAGAAUUCCGAAUUCUAACAAUAUAUUGCACCAACUAUUUCGUAUCUUUACUUAAAUUGAUAGUGUCUUUUAAAUUA